GUGGGGAAUAUUGGACAAUGGGGGGAACCCUGAUCCAGCCAUGCCGCGUGUGUGAAGAAGGCCUUUUGGUUGUAAAGCACUUUAAGCGAGGAGGAGGCUACCGAGAUUAAUACUCUUGGAUAGUGGACGCUACUCGCAGAAUAAGCACCGGCUAACUCUGUGCCAGCAGCCGCGGUAAUACAGAGGGUGCAAGCGUUAAUCGGAUUUACUGGGCGUAACGCGCGCGUAGGUGGCCAAUUAAGUCAAAUGUGAAAUCCCCGAGCUUAACUUGGGAAUUGCCUUCGAGACUGGUUGGCUAGAGUAUGGGCGAGGAUGGUAGAAUUCCAGGUGUAGCGGUGAAAUGCGUAGAGAUCUGGAGGAAUACCGAUGGCGAAGGCAGCCAUCUGGCCUAAUACUGACACUGAGGUGCGAAAGCAUGGGGAGCAAACAGGAUUAGAUACCCCUGUAGUUCC
rnacentral:rRNA from 1 species